rnacentral:rRNA from 1 species
GACAGAGGGUGCAAACGUUGUUCGGAAUUACUGGGCGUAAAGCGCGUGUAGGCGGCUAUGUAAGUCGGGCGUGAAAUCCCACGGCUCAACCGUGGAAGUGCACCCGAAACUGCGUAGCUAGAGUCCUGGAGAGGAAGGUGGAAUGCUUGGUGUAGAGGUGAAAUUCGUAGAUAUCAAGCGGAACACCGGUGGCGAAGGCGGCAUCCUGGACCGAGAUUGACGCUGAUGCGCGAAAGCCAGGGGAGCAAACGGG